rnacentral:rRNA from 1 species
UACGAAGGUGGCAAGCGUUGUUCGGAUUUACUGGCGUACAGCGCGCGCAGGCGGUUGCCGACGUGCCGUGUGACAAACGGGGGCUCAACCCCCGAGGGCCACGGUAAACGGGGCGACUGGAGGAAGGGAGAGGGAUGUGGAAUGCCCGGGUGGAGCGGUGAAAUGCGUAGAGAGUCGGGCGGAACACCAGCGGCGAAGGCGGCAUCCUGGCC